rnacentral:rRNA from 1 species
AUUGAACGCUGGCGGCAUGCCUAACACAUGCAAGUCGAACGGCAGCACGGGGGCAACCCUGGUGGCGAGUGGCGGACGGGUGAGGAACACAUAGGAAUCUACCCUGUCGUGGGGGAUAACGUAGGGAAACUUACGCUAAUACCGCAUACGACCGAGAGGUGAAAGUGGGGGACCGCAAGGCCUCACGCGAUUGGAUGAGCCUAUGUCCGAUUAGCUAGUUGGCGGGGUAAGAGCCCACCAAGGCGACGAUCGGUAGCUGGUCUGAGAGGAUGAUCAGCCACACUGGAACUGAGACACGGUCCAGACUCCUACGGGAGGCAGCAGUGGGGAAUAUUGGACAAUGGGGGCAACCCUGAUCCAGCAAUGCCGCGUGGGUGAAGAAGGCCUUCGGGUUGUAAAGCCCUUUUGUACGGGAAGAAAAGCUCUGGACUAAUACUUCGGGGUCAUGACGGUACCGUAAGAAUAAGCACCGGCUAACUUCGUGCCAGCAGCCGCGGUAA